UACGGAGGGUCCGAGCGUUAUCCGGAAUCAUUGGGUUUAAAGGGUCCGUAGGCGGGCGACUAAGUCAGUGGUGAAAGUCUGUGGCUCAACCAUAGAAUUGCCAUUGAAACUGGUUGUCUUGAAUUAUUGUGAAGUGGUUAGAAUAAGUAGUGUAGCGGUGAAAUGCAUAGAUAUUACUUAGAAUACCAAUUGCGAAGGCAGAUCACUAACAAUACAUUGACGCUGAUGGACGAAAGCGUGGGGAGCGAACAGG
rnacentral:rRNA from 1 species